GGGCUCAUAGCUCAGCCUGGUCAGAGCGACUGAAGGAAUGUCGAUGCUCUUAAGCUCUAGGUGAGACCAGUAGGCCGUGGGUUCGAAUAUCCAAGAGGACACUCCUCAGGAUACGCAAGUCCCACUGGGCCCG
rnacentral:tRNA from 1 species